rnacentral:rRNA from 1 species
UACAUGGGGUGCAAACGUUGCUCGGAAUUACUGGGCGUAAAGCGCGCGUAGGCGGACCUGCAAGUCGGGGGUGAAAGCCCGAGGCUCAACCUCGGAACUGCCUUCGAUACUGCGGGUCUCGAGUCCGGGAGAGGUGAGUGGAAUUCCUAGUGUAGAGGUGAAAUUCGUAGAUAUUCGCAAGAACACCAGUGGCGAAGGCGGCUCACUGGCCCGGUACUGACGCUGAGGUGCGAAAGCGUGGGGAGCAAACAGG